AAGUGAUUGAUUGAUUAAUAUUGUCUAAAUUCAGGGAUUGGUGAAUUCUAUGCAGUACCAUACAACCAUAUGGAUGUAUGUAAACCAGAGAGCAAAAAAUCCAUUUUAUUUAGAAAGCUGUACAAUAUGGUUUGGGAUACUCUGGACGAAGCAUCACCGUUUGAUAAAUAAACAACAGACCAAGUUCCACCGUUAGAUGAACAAAAAACAGUUGGUCAUUCUCCUUGCAGUCAUUCUUCAUAAGGAUCAAUCUUUGCAUGAUCGAUAAUAACGAAGGACAAUCCUUGUGCAGUUGAUCUUACAAUCUUCAAAUGAACGAUCUUCAUAUGAGCGUUGGUGCCUAGAGCAAUUUUACAGUGUCUUGAAUGAUGUCAUGUUAAGAAAUCAUAAUGGUCUUGUAAACCAUAUCCAAUAUUAUGAAGAGCUAACCAUGUAUUUCAAAUUCGCCAUUCGGGUGCAUUUUUCGACUAAAUUUUACGACAAAUUGUGCACCAAAACCUAAAUUUAGACUUUUUUAUAUGUGUAUUAUAUCUGUCUAGUGUCUGUCUAGUGUCUAUUCCCAUAGAGACGAGAAAUAGACUUGCAAUACUUGAAAACAUUUUAAUUAUAAAAAAUUACAUCAUUUAUAAUUUUCUUUAAAUUUAACCAACAAAGUAUAUCUGAUAUCUUCUAAACUAUCCAUCAAAAUUUUAGUAGAUUAAAAAAUUGAAGUGUAUGCAACGAAAUUUAAAUUUUUAUUAUUUUUGUUACCAAGUUAGAUUAUUGUGAUUAAACCCUACUGUGAUGGAAUAGUUUAUUGAAUAAAAAACUUACAUAUAAAACAA